rnacentral:tRNA from 1 species
AGCAGCAUGGCUCAGUGGAAAGAGCAUGGGCUUGGAUGUCAGAGGAUGUGGGUUCUAAUCCCAGUUCUGCCG